CUACAGCUGUGUUUAUCACCUCCAUGUUUUUGGACACAACUUCUCCUCAGAGAGCCGCCUGCUGUCUCUGUCUGUGUUCGAUCCAACAGCUGUGGUGGUCAGAUGGGUGGUGGUGCCGCUGUCUCUGCUGCUGCUGCAGGGGGCGCUGUGGCUGUACUGUAAGGCCAGCAGGGGGCAGACCGGCAGACCGGGCGGACGCUGAGCGGAGUGCAGUGGAGGGAUGAAGUCGGUCCUCUGAACCUUCCUGCUGUGAAGACCAGAUGGUUUUUUAUGAGCUUUUUCCAGAAAUGAUGAAUCUGAUCACGUUCCUACAGACAGUGGAACAAGGUUCCUUUUCCUUCUGAAGACCGUGGAGAAAAAAAAAGUGUUUUGCCGUAUACUGGACCACGGUGGAUGUCCUUUUUUUAAUCUCCCUUUUUACCCUUUUUACUCCUUUUUCAUUUAUUUUUUAAGUCAUAUCAUGUGUGCUCAUUUAAUCAUAUGUUAUCAUCUGCUCCACUCAGGCUGACUGUGUUUAACUGUUGAGAUAUUUUUUUUGUGAUUGUAAUCCAGCUUAAUAGCUUUUGCAAAAGUUAGCUUUUUCAGCACCAAGGUGAGGCAGGAUGUGGUUUGCAGCAGGAGUUGAACCGUAUGGAACCUCACCAGGUUGUAUUUCGUCCUGAGUGGUUGAUCUGGACCUGAAGAACUCACUUGCUCUCACAUGGGCUGCUUGCAUGUGUU